UACGUAGGGGGCGAGCGUUGUCCGGAUUUAUUGGGCGUAAAGAGCGUGUAGGCGGCCAGGUAGGUCAGCUGUGAAAACUCGAGGCUCAACCUCGAGAUGUCGGCUGAAACCAUCUGGCUAGAGUCCGGAAAGAGGAGAAUGGAAUUCCCGGUGUAGCGGGUGAAAUGCGCAGAUAUCGGGAAGAACACCCGUGGCGAAGGCGGUUCUCUGGG
rnacentral:rRNA from 1 species